rnacentral:rRNA from 1 species
GACGAACUGGGCAAACGUUAUUCGGAAUCACUGGGCUUAAAGGGUGCGUAGGCGGUCUUUUAAGUAGGGUGUGAAAGCCUCUGGCUCAACCAGAGAACUGCGCCCUAAACUAGAAGGCUUGAGUGAGGUAGGGGUGUGUGGAACUUCCAGUGGAGCGGUGAAAUGUGUUGAUAUUGGAAGGAACGCCGGUGGCGAAAGCGACACACUGGACCUUGUCUGACGCUGAGGCACGAAAGCCAGGGGAGCAAACGGG